rnacentral:rRNA from 1 species
CCUACGGGAGGCAGCAGUGGGGAAUAUUGGGCAAUGGGCGCAAGCCUGACCCAGCGACGCCGCGUGAGGGAUGAAGGCCUUCGGGUUGUAAACCUCUUUCAGUAGGGAAGAAGCGAAAGUGACGGUACCUAAAGAAGAAGCACCGGCUAACUAUGUGCCAGCAGCCGCGGUAAUACAUAGGGUGCAAGCGUUGUCCGGAAUUAUUGGGCGUAAAGAGCUCGUAGGUCGUUUGCCGCGUCGAUUGUGAAAAUCUGAGGCUCAACCUCAGACCUGCAGUCGAUACGGGCAAACUAGAGUGUGGUAGGGGAGACUGGAAUUCCUGGUGUAGCGGUGGAAUGCGCAGAUAUCAGGAGGAACACCAAUGGCGAAGGCAGGUCUCUGGGCCAUAACUGACACUGAGGAGCGAAAGCGCGGGGAGCGAACAGGAUUAGAUACCCUGGUAGUCCGCGCCGUAAACAGUGGGCACUAGCUGUGAGGACCUUCCACGGUCUUCGCGACGCAGCAAACGCAUUAAGUGCCCCGCCUGGGGAGUACGAUCGCAAGAUUAAAACUCAAAGGAAUUGACGG